rnacentral:lncRNA from 1 species
CGGGAAGUUUCUAGGUUUCAUGAUAAGUCGACGAGGGAUAAAGUGAUGGAGUUUGCUUUGAUGAUGCUUCUUCAACAAGAGAUGCUAUCCAAGGUGAGUUGAUGAAGAUCUUCAAAGGGUAGACUCCAUGUGAGAUGCUGAAGGUUGUAGAAGCUUUGAUAGAUGAAUAAAUGUUGUUGAUGGUGUUGAAUGGUCUUGAUAGUAGUCAUUCUAGGAGGUGAGAUCAACCAUGAAGGAGAAGGUAAGAAGAAGUCUAGAGAAAGACAUUUCUUAGAUUAAGAACUAAAGAGAUGGAGACUUGCAAAUUUGGCAAAGUAACUCUACAUUCAAAUUUCUAAGGAUUACAAAGGGUGCCUUUUUCUUUUAUAAGUGAAGGAGAAAAGCUAAAGUACAAAAAGGGGAGCCUAAGGCAUUUAAUGGAGAAGCCUCAACAUUAAUGAGGAAGAGCCUUUAACUAACUAGCUUAGCAUUUAAUGCAAAAGUCUCCUUGUAACUAACCCCUUCCAAAACCCAUUUUUAACCAUUUUCUAAGCCAUUUAGGCACCACUUCUUUUCUAGGGUCCUAUUGGUGUAGUCUCAUUUACUUUAAAGGCAUUAACCCCUCUAAACAAAACUAAACAAAGUUUCUUGGCCAAAUUACACAAGGCCUUAUGAAGC